UACGAAGGGGGCUAGCGUUGUUCGGAAUUACUGGGCGUAAAGCGCACGUAGGCGGAUAUUUAAGUCAGGGGUGAAGUCCCAGAGCUCAACUCUGGAACUGCCUUUGAUACUGGGUAUCUCGAGUAUGGAAGAGGUAAGUGGAAUUCCGAGUGUAGAGGUGAAAUUCGUAGAUAUUCGGAGGAACACCAGUGGCGAAGGCGGCUUACUGGUCCAUUACUGACGCUGAGGUGCGAAAGCGUGGGGAGCAAACAGG
rnacentral:rRNA from 1 species